AGGAGGCAGCGGCCGAAGGUAGGGUCAGCGAUUGGGGUGAAGUCGUAACAAGGUAGCCGUAGGAGAACCUGCGGCUGGAUCACCUCCUUUCUAAGG
rnacentral:rRNA from 1 species